GACGAACCGGACAAACGUUAUUCGGAAUCACUGGGCUUAAAGGGUGCGUAGGCGGCGCGGCAAGUUGGGUGUGAAAUCCCUCGGCUCAACCGAGGAAUAGCGCCCAAAACUGCCGUGCUCGAGGGAGACAGAGGUGAGUGGAACUUAGGGUGGAGCGGUGAAAUGCGUUGAUAUCCUAAGGAACUCCGGUGGCGAAAGCGACUCACUGGGUCUCUUCUGACGCUGAGGCACGAAAGCUAGGGGAGCGAACGGG
rnacentral:rRNA from 1 species